rnacentral:ribozyme from 1 species
CACUCAAGUCACGAGAGGGGAAAAAGGUGAAAAAGGACAAAAUGAAAGGAAAAGAAGCGUGCUUCCAUUCCAUUCCAUUACCUUCUUUUCAUUUCAUUUGCCUUUUUCUCUCUUUUUCAUAUCCUGAUAAGAAGAAUGAUGAAUGAGCUGUGUCCUUUAUUCAUUUAAUUAGAAGCGAAAGAAGAGAGCGCGAAUUAAACGAAUAAAGAACACAAUUCCAUUUUAUAUUUUGGUCUAACCGUUCACUUGUUUUCAUUCCAUU